ACCAAGUAAAGAAUUGAAAAGAUGGUUUGUUUGAUAUGUGUGUUGCUAAUGUCACGGUUCGCAAAACGUCUAGCUUAAAAUUUAAGACGAGAGAUACGAAUGAUAUAUCUUUCGGUAAAAUACGAAUGAUAUGGCACGUCGUAUUCAUCCUUUAAUGGAACACGGUCCAUUGGUUAUUUUAGACGAAUUUUAGGAGAUGAUGCAUUCCUGAAUCCUGAUUAACAUCUGUCCUUUUUAUUAUUUUAAUUUCGCUUCUCAAAUAUGUUGAAAAUGACAUCCCAUCAUUAACAUAUUAUCUAUUUAAUUUUUGAAAUCCAAGCAACCUUAUGCUCAUUUGUAUAUAACUUAAUAGUAUAUCUCUACGAAUGUAAUAAAAUAAUAUAUAUGUACGCGGAAAAAAUAGUAACGUUCUCAAAAUAUUCCAUUGUUUUCUCUCCAACAAGGUUCUUGCAACGUGGCACCAGUCAAUAAGUCAAGAGGACCGACAUCACCGACAAUACGUCUUUUACGUCAAUCACUACACGUUUUUGGGUCCUACGCAAGGACGAACUCCCAUGCUAUAUUGACAUGUGUCGAUACUUCAUUGCUUAAUAUUACUUUUCUCUCUGCCUUCUUUAUUUUUAUAAUCUACUUUCGUAUUACCGGCAUUGUCCUUCGU
rnacentral:lncRNA from 1 species